rnacentral:lncRNA from 1 species
GUCCGAUAAAAGCUUCAUGAAGAUGUGCUGUACCAUAUGAAGAUCCCCAGCCCAUCUUGAGGGUGAUGGUGUUUGUAUAUGACGUCUAUGAAGAUCAACUGCUGUGCCUACAUGGUAACGAUGGAGAGUUUGUAUAUGAUGUCUAUGAAGAUCAACUGCAGUGUCUCCAUGGAGGUGGUGGAGUAUUUAUAUGCUGUGUGAAGAUCUACUGCUCGGUAUACAUUGUCGGUAUGAAAUUGCUAUGGUCUUCCAAGCUUUCUUUCUUGGUCACUGGACAUUGAGAACUGAUCUGCUCAAGCACACUUAGAUCAACUCUGAUUAAGAGUUUACUGAACUUGCAUGAUAAUGUUCAUUUCAGUAUGCCUAUUAUAGAUCUUCUGAGCUGAAGCUAGGUUUCAAGUAUUGGUGAAAGCCAUUUGAUGAAAUGAAGCUAGGUUUCGUGCAAGUGAGCCAAUUUGAUUGGUCAGAAGGUAGAAUAGCCCCAAGUAGCGGUACCAAAUGGAUCCCUUAUGACAGAAUGGAUUCUCUCCAUUUUUGCAUGUGUGACAUGAAUCUUUGAUAUAGCUUGCUCGGAAUCGAUUGCUGCUGCUGCAGCAGCAACCACUCCUACCUCUUCAUACCCUGAAGAGACCUAGCAGCGGCUGGUGUAGUAGCGCAGCUGUGCAGAGGCAGAAGGGAUGAGACUUGGAAUAAGAAAUUAUUCUGCUAAAUACGCUGCAAAUGGAUCUGUUGUUUUCUCUAUUUUCCAGGAUAUGAUGCUUUGCUCUAGUUUGAGCUUCUGGACUUAAUAUUCGAAAAUAGCAUCUCGUUUUAAUAUUUGAAAAUUGCAUCUUGUUUUAUUGGUUGUUUGCUCAAUUCAACUAUUUGACCCGAAGGUUCUUUUUUUUUGCCAAUCUUUCAUGUAUAUAGGUGAGAAUAUUCUUCAGAUUAGACUUAUACUCUCCAUUUUUCAAAUUAAUAUGUGUUCUGAAUGUUGAGAUUUGACUAUACUGAUACUGGUAGUUACCUUCCGACCUGGAGUUUGGCUCUGGUACCUCUGAUCUAGAGCUCUGGUGAGUGGUGACCUAAUGAAUCCGACGGUUACCUUUCGAUCUGUAGUUUGGCUCUGGUUCCUCCGAUCUGGAGUUUGGCUGUGGCGAGCGGCUACUGAUGAAUCUGGCUUCGGCUCUGUGAUGGUUCUCCGAUAGGUUGUACUGUUUAUGUAUUGUUCUUUUCGCAUUGUUAAUUAAUUCUGAGGUUGAAGCCAUGGUUUGCAAAUUUUCUGGAGCCAUCACCACAUUGAACAGAAACUUUGGUUGCUGUACGAAGGUAUAUAUGAUGUUACUCAAUUCUUACUAAACACUCCGAAUACUACUGAUUGCAAGCAUAUUAAUACCAUCAAGGCGCGUAGAAAGUAGUGUCAUUUAAUUUUGUAUCUGACAUAGCAUAAUUGUCUUAAAAAUCAAAAAAUGAAAAUGGUUUUAGAUUUUGAUCAGUGUUAAGUGUGUCUCCUAACUGUGGAUCUUAUCUCAACACGGUGAGGUCCUCUGUGGACUGUUCAUUACAGUUCCGGACGGAAGGUGGUUCGAUUCCACCAAGAUCCUGUAGUCCGUAUUUUUGUGAUACAACAGGUUUAAAUUAUAAAGAUGUAAGUUCCAUAAAACUAAUUUGAAAUAGCUGCUGUAAAUAGUUGUAUUUUUUUUUUCAAAAUCCUUCUUUCCGGGAGACUUAGGGUAUAUAUUUUGAUUCAUCUGGAACUUGGAUUGAUUUUAAGAUAAUUGUAAUAAAUAUUGAUAUUAUUGUGAUUCUAAGUGUAUAUUCUUAUUUUUUAUUAUCUAAAUCUAACUUGGUUCAAGUUAUGUAUGUAUAAGUUCAAAAUUGCUAUCUUUUUGCUGCAGGUUAUACACAAUUAUAUCCUGCUGCUUUUAAAAUUUUGUGAUGCUAUUAUUUAUGGAGUUCAGUAGAUGUUGGAAGUUCUGCUAUCUGCUUUAAAAUUUUGAAGCCAAUGGUUCCUGAAACAAAAUUUGUUUGUUAGUGUUCAUUACGUUUUUAGUACUUCCUUCAUUCAAGAUGUUUGCUUAUCUUAUAAGACGUAGUCAAUAAUAUUUUUCUCUCACGAUAGAAUAGCAAACAUUAUUUUUAGCUAUAGUUUUUCAGAUUAGCAAACAGGCUCGACAAGAAUUUUGGAAAGUUAAAAAACAUCUUAAGUUUGAACAGACUCGACAAGAAUCUUGGAGGGUCAAAACAUCUUAAGUUUGACCAUAAAAUAAUAAUAUUUAUAAUAUCAACUGAGUAACAUUAGGUUCUUUACUAAUUAUAUUUUUAUAGUAUAUCUAUUUAAUGCUAUAAAAUUUUGUAAUUUUUUUAUAAUUUUAGUUAAAUUUGAGAUACUUUGACUCUUCAAAAUUAUUAAAAUAACUUACAAUUUAGAAUGGACAGCGUACAUAUAAAAAUAUGAUUAAGGUCUUGUUUGGAUGAUAAAGAAAUUGUAGUUUUAGUGUGGUUUAGAAAAAAUAAGGUCUAGAGUGAAGUUUUUAAAACUCUAAAAGACUCGUUUUAGCAAUAUCGUGGUAUUUAAAAUUAUAAAGUUUGUUACAGCAAACACUCCAUGAUACUCUAAAAUUAAAGUAUUUUAUAAAAUCUUGAUAUUUUUAUAAAACUCUAAAAAUACUUUGUUUAACAGGACCUAAAGGGUAAUUUAUGCACUCCAAGGUAGGACCUAGUGUCUCUUCCUGAUUAAUAACAUAGAGCUCUCAAAUUUCCAAAACUCACCUUCAAUCUUGAUUUUUUUAGCAACUUCCAUCUCUUCUUCUUCUUCUUCUUCUUCUUCUUCUUCUUCUUCUUCUUCUUCUUCUUCUUCUUUGCAAUACAUGGAAAUAUACAAGUGUGUAUGCAUCAGCCAAUCUGGAGGUUUUUUUACCCGCGUGUAUCUAUCAAUCAAUGUGGAGAGGUCCUUUCCUGUUUGGUUUUGACUGCUAAAGUUUAAUCCUCAGAUAUUUGACACUAAUUUAGAGUAUUUGAUAUAGACGUUACAAAACUAAUUACAUUGAUUGCGACUAAUUUGCGAGACAAAUCCAUUAAAUCUAAUUAGGACAUAAUUUGAUAAUGUGGUGCUAUAUUAAACAUGUGUUAAUGAUAGAUUAAUUAGGCUUAAUAUAUUUGUUUUUUGAAUUAGCCACAACUAUAAUAAGUUUUAUAAUUAACUCGUAUCUAGUUUUACUAAAUAGUACAUGAUAUUUGAUGUGACAUGGAUUAAACUUUAGCCCCUCGAUCCAAACCCCACGAAGGUGAAAAGACAUGGAGGACAUGGAGGUGUUUGUUUUCACAUGCAUAUUCAUCAAUGGAGAGGUCCUUUCAAUCUAAGGGUGGAAGGACACAAAGAAGCAUAAGUAGUUAGACAAGAUUUUUAAUGUAAAUAUACCAGAGAUAAAAGUAGUUAGAGCGAUUUUAGAAUAGUCUAUGAUUUCUGAUGUAAAAUUAUCUUUUAUAUUUUGAGAGCGAGAUGUGAAGUAGGAGUCUAUGUUGUACUUAUGGAGAGCAAGAUGUGAAGUAUGCGUCUAAAUUAUACUAAUAGACAACGAGGCUCACAACAUUUUAGCAGGAAACUCUAUAGUGAACAUGACGUGUAGUAGACCAGUAGAAAACCGCAUGGAGAUCCGGUUACUUGUAUGGAAGGUCCAUGGACAAACAGGGGGUACUUGAUCAUGCCUUAACUCUUGCAAGCUUCUCGAUACCUCGAGAAAAAUUGGACAUGAGAGUUUCUGUUAUCUUACUAAUUUACGGGCUUACUUGGUUGGCUUUCAAUUCUUGCCCAACCAAAAUUGAGGUAAGCUAAAAUUUUUAGUCGUGAGUUGGUUUGCCAAAGAAUUGACACACCAAUGUUGAUUGUCAAAGCUUGGACAAGUCUCUAGAAACUUUUUAUUGGGUACAUAACUCUUUUGUGUUAGCGAUAGUAAUACAUAGCAAAAGCAUAGAACGUAUUUAGAUAGACACUUGUGUAGAUUUUGAUAAAUGUUUUUAAGCUGUCUAAUUCAACCUCCAUCUUAGACUUUGCAGUCCUUUUGUACCUCAUCCACUAUUCUAUCUGCAUGUGUAUUUCGCUAGACAGUAAGGAGCUAAUCCCUCUGUUCCAAAUUAAAAGAUAUUUUAGCUUUUAUAAAUAUAUUAUUUUACUAUUUAUUUUGAUAUAAUGUAUCUCUCUAGAUAUAGUGUAUAUCUUAGUGCAUAGUGUAGAUAUAGUGUAUAUCAGACCUUGUUUAGAUGCGAAAAGAUUUUGAACUUCGCUACUGUAGCACUUUCGUUUGUUUGUGGCAAAUAUUGUCCAAUUAUGGACUAACUAAGAUCAAAAGAUUCGUCUCGUGAUUUAGAACUGUGUCAUUAAAUUUUAUUUUUAUCUAUAUUUAAUGCUUCAUGCAUGUGUCGAAAGAUUCAAUGUGAUGAAGAAUCUUGAAAACUUUUUGGUUUUCGGGUGAACUAAAACAAGGCCUUAGUGUAUAAUGUCAUAGCUGUCGCUACUGAACGAGACCUCUGAACCAAACAAUACACCUCCCGUCUUUCCUUUCGCCCCUAAAUCACUGUCGUUCCACCAUUGGUGUCUUCACCGGGAUCUGCCGUCGUCCCGAAAGCAAAUCCGAGCAAGUGGCGAAGGAAGCGGGCCGGGCGAAGAAAGCUUCGCGGGGUGCCCAAAUCCGGAAGCUUGGUAAUAAUGAACAACAAAAAAAAAGGUCUCUGCGGCUGUGCCAAGUCAUACAUUACGGUAAACACCAUCAAACCAAACGAGCAGCAUAGCAAAUUAGAACGCUCAUCCCGCCGUGAAUCGACAACAAAAAUUUACAAAAAGUCAGUCCACCACCACCAGCUCCAGCUCCUCGCACGCCGCGCCCGGUGCGUUCGUGCAGGGUUUGCUUGCAGUUGCAGCUCGGAUCCUUCAUCUCCACAUCGACUUGUCCGAGUCGUCGGCGGCACUGACGUUCUCCGACAGAAGCGACGGCCUCGAGCCCGUCGACGUCCGGUGAGAGGCCCGCGGCGAGCGGUGCUCCUGCAUCGAGCAAAAAGCAAAUCCAAGAACGGGCGGGCGUGUGUCAGACAGUCAAUACCACCACCAAUGCCAUGCGCAAGCUCACUACUGGUAGCCAGCGACACCGGCGAGCGAACAGAACAGAGGAAAGCAAUACCAUGCGGAAGGGGAACUCGUCGCCCUCGAGCAUGUGCACGAUCUGCCCCAUCUUGGGCCGCUUGUGCGCGUCGGCGUCGAUGCAGCGGAGGCAGACGAGGAGCACCCGGUUGAGCACCCGUGGCGGCGGCGGCGCGGCGAUGCGCGGGUCCACAAGGUCCUCGACGCGGCGGCUGCCCACCAUGCCCCUGAACCACUCCACCAGGUUCACCUCGCCGGCGGGGCGGUUGUAGUCCACGGGGCUGCGCCCGGAGAUGAGCUCCAUCAGCAGCACGCCGAAGCUGUAGAUGUCGCUGCUCUCGUUCAGCAUCCCAGUCGACGCGUACUCGGGGGCCACGUACCCGAAUGUGCCCAUCACCCGGGUCGUCACGUAGCUGGACCCGGACCCCAGCACCUUGGCCAUGCCGAAGUCCGACACCUUGGGGUUCCAUUUCUUGUCCAGCAGGAUGUUGCUCGACUUGAUGUCCCGGUGCACCACCUUCGGUUCCAGGCCUUCGUGCAAGUACGCUACGCUGCCACACAUGAGCAAAAUUACCAGUGGAUUUAUUUCCCUAUUGACACUAAAGAUUAAUAACAAUCGAAGAUUAUGAAGUACCCUGUCAGCAGAAGAACAUGAACAUACCCUUUGGCCGUUCCGACGGCGAUCUUCAUCCGUAUCUCCCACGUCAAGGGGCUGACAGGCCCGACGUCGCCGUGCAGCCACUGCUCUAAGUUGCCGUUUUCGACGAACUCGUAAAGGAGCAUCCUGUGAAAAGCAAAUUUAUAGCAUUGGCAGUGAGUAUCGAUCAAUCAGACUAUCAGCAAGCAUUUGUUAGUUCAGUGGCCGACAGUUAUUCAGGUGAAAUUCACAAGUGUGGGUGCUCACCGUUUAGGGCCUUCCGCGCAGUACCCGAUGAGACCGACAAGGUGCUUGUGCCUCACUUUGCCGAUGGCUUCAACCUCCACCUUGAAUUCCUUCUCGGCCUGACCCCUAAAAACAAAUCAUCAUCUCAAUCAACAAGCAUGCCGACUAGUAACGCUAUCGUCAUCAGAACAUAAACUUCUAUCUGCUGUCCAUUUUAUCUCUCGAGAUUUACCCUAAAUGUCGUAGCAUGGUAUGGUUGAGGUAAGAAACAGCAAUAACUGUUGCUUCUAUGGCAAUCUAUCAGGAAACCACGUGCAUGCAUUUGAUUCCCUUGAAAGCUAACACUGCUUCAAAGCUCAUUGCACUGCAUAUUUUUAGUUGGAUAUAUAUGCCUACGAAGCUGAAUGAAAAGGAAAAGUUUGGUCGUCGCUUUGCCUUUCCCCUGCUUUAUCCUUUCUUGAAAGAAAGGAUUUAAUCGGUGGCCCAUAUGACUACCGACGAAGUUCAACCAACAAGUAGAUGGACACAUACGGGCCAUCACACAAAAGCACAAAAAGACCCACCUACUCAUAUCAUAAUCAUACGUAGCCUUGGAAAAACAAAACAUAUAUGUUUUUUUUUGUAAAUCAUUGACUUUAGUAUAUGGACAUUGUGGGUAUGCAUACAACAUAUACUACAUUAUAUCCAUGGAUUCACAGGAUCAUCGAGAUCAAUUAUGUGACAAUCGUGCCAUACAGCACAGUGAGGAUCAAAGGUGUGGACACGCCCGCUACGGCUAUGAUUUUCUCUCCAGCUAAAUUGUGUCCUUCAGUGAUUUGUGAAGAUAGUUGUGAACCCCACUACUAACUUUAAAGUAUUAAUAAAGACAUCAAAGAUCAAACCUUUUUGUUUUUGUUUUUUUAGGGUGGCAAAGAAGAAAAGAAUUCUCCAGUUAUUAAACCUUUUCUCCUUGGUUUUGAAAAACUAAGCAUGCACAAAAUUUAAAGAGUGCUUUUCGAAUCCGGGAAAAAAAAUGCUGCUACCACGAAUGGUUAGUUGUUGAGCAGUCAAUUGAUGUAAUGCAAUUCACCUGUCUAGAACUGAAAACUCACAUUGGUAACAAAAGUCAGAAGUAUUGCUUUUAAGCUAAUAAAAACAUGUUUUACAAGCUUUUUUAUAUGACCAUGAUAGUAAAAGACUAUCGUCAAGCCACAUCAACAGCAAAGCUACAACCACCACUGGGGUAAUGUGACCAAUGACCAAGAAAUGCAUUAGGAAAGCAUCAAACAUAUCUGUACUACCUCUUGUCAAAAUCUUAGGCCCAAGGAGUAGCACUACGAUCCUCUACUGUACCCAUUAAGGCAUUUACACCAGAAAGACAAGAACGAGGGAACAUAAUUGUACCAUGUACUAGGAAGGUUAAUUUAAUUUACACACGUCGAUUUAGUAAUUAGUUAGAUACUCAAGUAAUGAGGGAUUUUUUAAUCUGAAAGUGGACGCCUGAGUUCGAUGCUUUUACCAUGAUCUGCUUCUGGGAUAGAAAAGAAAGAUACCAGCAGUACAAAGGAAAAGGAACAGCGAAGAUCAGGACACUCACUUGUGAUCCAACAAGUCCUUGACCGCGACGACCUCGCCGCCGGCAAGGAUGCCGCGGUACACCGUGCCAUAGCCUCCCUCCCCGACCACGUUCUCCGGGCAGAACCCGCCCGUGGCGACCUCCAGCUCCGUGAGGUCGUACCACCUCCCCCACCCCAUCUCCAUCUCCACCCCCGCCGCGGGUGCCCCGCCGCCGCCGACGACGGCCCUGACCGCCUCCGCCUUCCUCUUCACCGGCGACUCGAGCGAGCUCGCGGCCGCGGAGGAGCUGGCCACGCCAGAGGAGGUGGCGGUGGCGGUGGCACCCGCCCCGCCGGCGCCCUGGUCCGCGCCGACGACCUUCUCCUUGCGCGCGGACGACGCCGCGCGGGAGGAGCCGGAGGCGGAGGCGGAGGACGGCGCGUGCUCGACGCGCGACAGCGAGGGCGGCCUGGCGCCCCGCCUGCGCGCGAAGAAGACGGCAGCGGCCACCGCGGAGAGGACGAGCAGGGCGACGAGUGCGGCGGCGGCGCCCACCGCGACGAGAACCGGCAUGCCGAAGAGGGUGGUCUUGGAGUUGGAGCCGCCGUCGGCCGGGGCUGCGCCGGCGGCCGAUGGCGGCCCGGCGGCGUCCAUUGGCGGUUGGGAGCUCGGGGGCGGUGGGGCCGUCCCCGCCUCCGACCCGUUAGGCGCAGCAGAGCAGGAGCAGGGGUGGUGGUGGCGUGGCGAGGGAGUGGAGGGAGGCGGAGGCGGAGCGUGUCGCGGGCGGCAGCCGCUCUGUUUUAUGGCGCUGGGCGAUUUUCGUCGUUGUGAACGUUGGUGGACUCCUCAAUCAAAAAACAAAAAAAAACUUGGUGGACUCGUUGUUGCGUGGGCCCGGCGCAUCAAUUUUAGGCAUAGGCCUUGUUUACUUCCGAAAAGAUUUCGGAUUUCGGUACUGUAGCAUUUUCGUUUGUUUGUGACAAAUAUUAUUUAAUUAUGGACUAACUAGAAUCAAAAGAUUCGUCUCGCGAUUUCCAGCUAAACUGUGUAAUUAGUUUUUACUUUCGUCUAUAUUUAAUGCUUCAUGCAUGUGCCACAAGAUUCAAUGUGACGGGGAAUCUUAAAAACUUUUUGCUUUUUUGGGUGAACUAAACAAGGCCAUAUUUGGAUGCACCCAACUAAAAGUUUAUAUAACUAGUUAAAAUUUUAAAGUAAAAUUUUAGAUAGCUAAUAAUUUCUCGGUGAAACUUUAGCUAAAGUAUUUAGAUGUUCUAGCUAAUAGAUUUAACUAAAUUUUAACUGGAAGUUGAAAUAGCUAAAUCCAGCUAAAUUUUAGCUAAGUUGUAGGAUGCCUAGCAGCUAAAUUUAGGCAACGAAAAUUUAGCUGUAGCAUCAAGCAUGCCCAUCUGAACUCCUCUUUCAUUUUUCCUCACCAUUUUUUCAGCUAUUUCGGCCUAAAAAAAUGAGAGUAUUUAUAAGCUUAUAAUCAUUCGGAUAUCCUAAUUGGGACGAAUGAACAGGACAGUUUCGCAUAUACGAGUCACAGUUCAACAAUAGUUUAGCACUCUGUCAUUCAUGCAGGGCCUAGUAUGCUACAGUACUAAUUAGCUAUAAGCGACGUUUAAACAGCAGCGCAACUACUCCUAUAAAACAGGACUGUACGACGGUGUAACGCAUGCAUGCGAUAUACGCGUACUAAUUGACACCUAAACAGAAAAGGCACGGCCGGACGGGUUUGAUCUGUGACGGCAAAUGAUGGCGGUAUGGACCGGCGGUAGGCCAGGCGUACGGGUGGCGCGCGGCCGCGCGGGCGUAUUGCCGUUCCACGGGAGGCGUGUAGUUUUUGUUCCGGUGCCUGCGGCUGCCUAUACGUGGAGCUAGCGGUCGUUGGCCGGAAGCUGUCCCGUGAGCGGCCGGCGAGGUAUGGAGAGGGCCCGUGAAGGCUCUGUAGCGCCCCGUUGGCUUCUGGUGCGCUCGAUCGAUCGCCGGGAGUCCGUUACGUUGCGUGUCCUUGCUGCUUCUACGUCGUAGCACCACAACACAGGCUGCUUACGAAGAAUGUGUACUGAUACGAUGAUGCCCGUCACGUGUGUACUUAUAACAGUAUAUAUAUAUAUAUAUAUAUAUAUAUAUAUAUAUAUAUAUAUAUAUAUAUAUAUAUAUAUAUAUAUAUAUAUAUAUAUAUACACACGACCGCUGGUAGGAUGUACUCCAAAUGAUGAUGUACAGAGAAGCGCAGUAUACGUUUCAGCCAGCAGUUUCGCUUCAGCCUGCCGUAUAUAGUCUAUAUAGAUACGCCUACCUUUAUAUGACUAUACGGCAGGAACAAACGGCUCAGUUUAUGUUACCGACUGUGGCUGGAUCAUCUUCAUCGUCCGAGGACAUUCCUGGUCCUCGCACAAAUUACGCGAUCGAUUCCUCCAUUGCCAGGUCAAAUUCGCUCAUUUAAUCUCCCUCCUGUAUCACGGUCUCCUUUUUCAUGGGUCCCCUAAUUAACAGAGAUGAAUAAGAGUACUGUACUCCUCUAUGUUUUAACCUAAACCCACAUCGAUCGGAGAUCCUGCACCGGCAACGCUCACAGAAACACCACGAGGCCUAGCUAGACAGCGACAGACGAGUAAAGGCAACCUUGGAUUGUCCUUUUGGAUUAACAAGAGGCUGCAACGUUCAGGUUCUGUGAGGCAGGUUAAGGUUGCCGGGAAAGCGACGAGGCCACGCAGCAGCUCUGGUAUUGUAAAAUACACGCCCGGCCCGUGCCUCUGCCCGUCUGCUGUGUCCUGCCCGCCGCGCCGGUUGAUUGGCUUGGAAACCAAGCGUGCAAAAGAGUUCGGGAGGGGCGUGCGCCCAUGCUUCCCAGUUCCUCAUCCUCCCGUUCAGACUUUUAGUCUAUACUAUAUACUAGUACUAGUAUAUAAUCAAAUCGAAUUAGUACCAUUAAUUACUGUUGCUCGUAAUCAGAUCAUUUUUCCUAAAAGGAAAUGGGCGAUCAUGUCAUAACAGUCACAACGUUGUUUGUGCGCGCAUGUCUCCGGCCGGGUUGCCCUGCCAGCUGGCUCGAUCCACUGCCAAUAUGAAUGAUCACUAGAGUACUUGUGCGAUGACUACGGCUUUUAAUCAUCAUCAUCAUAUCGAGCGAAAUGGGAAACGUGGCAUCGCUCACUGUUCAAAACACGGUACUCCGUUUGGAAAUGGGAGUACGUGUCGUUUGGCACGAAAAAUAGACGCUCGUGGUGGAAUCUGUGUGCCGAUAGAUGCAUGCAAGGCGGAGAAACGGGGAUGUGAACACGCAAUUAAAAAGGAUCACGAGACUCACAUCAUCAUUCAUCAGGGCCGCGCCCACGAAUGAACGGUCACCGACGCCGCCAUCAUCUGAUUGGUUAUUACAUGGAUGCGUACAUAUAUAGGAGUACGUACGACUCCAUGGACGAUAUAUCGAUCCCCACCCCCUAUAGAUUAUUGACCGUCCGUGCACGUAUCAACAACCAUCUCUUUGUGAUUACCUGAGGCCUUGUUUAGUUUUCAAAAUCUUUGAUCGCAUACAUAGAGCAUUAAAUAUAAAUGAAAAUAAAAACUAAUUGCACACUGUAAUUUGUGAGAUAAAUCUUUUGAACCUAGUUACUCCAUAAUUAGACAAUGUUUAUCAAAUAAAAACAAAAAUACUACAGUAGCCAAAAACCAAAAAUUUUGCAAACUAAGGCCUUGGUUAGAUCACCCCAAAAACUAAAAAGUUUUCAAGAUUCUCCGUCACAUCGAAUCUUGUGACACAUGUAUGAAGCAUUAAAUAUAGAUGAAAACAAAAACUAAUUACACAGUUUGCCUGUAAAUCACGAGACGAAUCUUUUGAUUCUAGUUAGUCCAUAAUUAGAUAAUAUUUACCACAAACAAACGAAAGUGCUACAGUGACCGAAAACUUUUCAUUUAGGAACUAAACAAGGCCUAAACAAGGCUGGGAAUACGCAACAGACACAGUGCUCACGAUCAGUGAGCAUAUAUCGGCUAGUCCUAGAGCAGCCUGAACAGGUGACAACGAACUGCGUGCAGCAAUCGUUUUCUUAGGGCUUGUUUAGUUCACACAGACCAAAAACUUUUAAGUUUCCCGUCACAUCGAAUCUAAAUAUAAAUGAAAUUUACCUGUAAAUCGCGAGAUGGAUAUUUUAAAUCUAGUUAGUUUAUGAUUAGACAAUAUUUGUCAAAUAAAAACAAAAGUGCUACAGUACCAAAAACCAAAAAAUUGUUUUUCGGAACUAAACAAGGCCUUAGAAAUUUUUUUGAAACAUUCUCACAAUUAUGUCUCUGAAAGUUUGAUUUUAGAAUUUAGACCUAAGACUUGACGCCAGCUAACAUUGCUUGACGUCAUUCAUCAUAGCGCCAAACUUGGCGCCACCACUAAUAGCGUCAAAGGUAUUUAGCUGUGUACGUGGUUCGUGAGCUUGACAAAAGGGGUGAGAAAGAAAAACGAGACGUCGUACGUUCAUUAUUAUGUCAACCUAACCAAAGAUGUACAGUAGCAACAAUGGCGGCCGCCGGUGGCCGGAGGGACACCUACGCCGGCGUCAUGCGCACGAUGCCUACAGGUGUCGAUCGGUCGGCCCCGCCCGAUGCAUGCGGCGGCUGGGGGCUGGGGAUUAAUGGCCGGGCUUGGAGGUAGCUCGAUCCGGCAGUGGUGUUGCACUGUUGCUAAACGCCUUUUGCUCAGCCGUGACUGUUCACUGGGCCUUUCGGGUUUCUCUUUCCGCGGCCUCGCAAUUAGUCGCGCCGUCCGUUUGGGGCGAUCAUGAUGAUACCGAAGCUAAUGCGCUAGCCUGUUGGACAAUUAGAUUAACAGUUCUCGUCUUGCGUAGUCGGAGUAGGCGCAUGCAGGUGCGCACCAAACACUGCAGAGCAACACCAAGAGCUCAGACACUUCACUGCUUCGGACACGGGACAGUUGCUUUGGUAAUGCAUGUUUACUACUACUGAAGCUUCAAGUAAAGCGUACGCGGUACAGAGAUUCUUGGCAUCUUUGUCAGUUCUUCAACCAUCCCUGUCCCAGGAAGUACAGUACCUGAUGAAUCCCUGCACUUGUCUCCUGAUUGUGCAUCCACCAAGAGCAGAGUUGAGCCACUGCAUGCUUUGCUUGGUGAUCAGAGAGAGGCCCUUGUCUUUGUCGAUCUGCUCCCAGCGAGCGAGCGAGGGAGAGAGAGAGAGAGAGAGAGAGAGAGAGAGAGAGAGAGAGAGAGAGAGAGAGAGAGAGAGAGAGAGAGAGAGAGAGAGAGAGAGAGAGAUGGAAACCUCAGACGCAACGCAAAAAUCACUAGAAUGAGACCAUAUACUACGCAUGGUGUAUUGAGAUUUCUGCAGCAAACAACCCAAUGCAAAACCAAGAACGUAACCAAAUGCAAAACCAAGAACGCAACCAAAUGUACAGACUCCAUACAGUGCUUGCAAUCAUAAUAAAGGCAGAAAACUAUCGAGGAAUUUAAACGCCCACGCAUCUAAUCCUGCUGCUUCCUUAAUCACCGGACCGAAAGCUACGUGAGGGCACCGUCGUCGUUAUCUCUCGCCAAUCACAUAUCACAUAUACUACUAGUAGUAGUACUAGAUCGAUCGGCGGUUGCAGAAAAGCCUGGGAUCCAGGCCAGGCGAUGUUGUUGCUGUUGGGAGGUCAGCCUCGCAGAUGCAGAUGCCUGGCUGGCUCCAAGCCCUGUGUUUUGAUUGCGAGCAUCAAAGCGCGUCGGGGAGACCACGAUUGCAUUCCGGCAACGGUAUUAGGGAAACCACGCUUUCGCCGUUAGGUGGCUUGGCUUAAGCCUUGACUUCGUACUCGCCUCGGCGUCUAGUCUAGUAGUAGUAACAGCAGUCGUUGCUAGAUCCUGGAGGUCUCUAGAUACCUGACGUUUCUGAAUUCUUGACGUCUGUUUCUGAUUAAAUGACAAGGCACAGAACCUGCCAUUUCUUCCUUAAUUUCUGCUUUGUCCCUGUCUUUGCUGGUGCUACGUUAGGAGUAGUAUUUCAAUGGACUCGGAAGGGCCAGAGAAUGUCAAGACGGUACAGGCUAAAUUCAUUUCUUUUUUUUAUUCGAUUGAUUGAUGCUCCAUUCCAUUUCUACUAUUAUAUAUGAUGGCUAGUUUGCUACCCGCAACAGAAGAGCAGCUGAACAGGGAGAUGGUCUCGCUGGAGUUGUUAUUGUGCUCAGCUCCCAGGAAUGCCAAUCAAAUCAGGGAUCUGAGUACAAAGUCCAAAAAAAUAAAGUGAUAUACUCAUUAACAAAAGUUGUUCUAAAUUCAUGAUUAUAUUGUUCCAGGAUUAUAUUAGAGCAUCUCCAGAAGCUUUCCUAAAAUCUAUUUUUAGGUCAUUAUUUGGUGAGUCAUUGAGUAAAAAAUUGUUUUCUAUAUUUCUGUACACUUCAACAACUUCUCUAUAUCUUAAGAAGUCUUGAGAGUCGUUAUUAUUUUCAUCUUUAGCUGGAGAGAAAUCCGGCAUAGAGGAGGUAUAUUUAGAUAUUCCAUUAAAAAAGGCUGUUGGAGGAUAUUUUUUCACUAAAUUCUCUAUUCCUAAAAAUUAGAAAAGAUAUAAAGAGUCUUUUGGAGAUGCUCUUACAGAUUAUUUGUUCCAGAUGUUUCAUUUGUUAAUGAAAAUUAUUGUUUCACAUGCCAAAUGUAAACUAUUUGUACAUUUUUUUUAUAAACCUAAUAUUCAGGCUGUCCUGGUGCAAAACGAAGGAACAUAUAUUCAUAUAAUUUUGAAAACUACUAUAUAUUAAGUCGUUCAAAUGACAAAGGACCAGAUGUUGGUGUAGGGUUAAAAAAAAUACCGAUAACUAUGGUAGUAAUUGGGGGGGGGUUGUAAAAAGAAUAACCCGGCCAAUUAGGAUUAGGAAAGGCAUUAGAAAGACAAAAGAUAUAUUAUAGUGACUAAAUAAUGAGAGAGAGAGAGAGAGAGAGUACAGGAUACAGAAUGGGAAUCUGUUCUGCUGUGUCGGCCGCCGCAUGGCCUGUUAGCGCUUCCUCGACUUGGGCCAGUACCCAACAGAGCAAACCGGCCAGGCCCAAGUUUAGACAAUGGACAGUUCACAAAUGAGGCAGCCACCAAAAAAUAAUUAGAGAUGUUGCAAAAAAAAAACGAAUAGAGAUCGGCAUCUUCUUCAACCUCCGUCCGUGGCUGCGGCUCGGACAACGCUCCUUCAGUUCGUCACAGCCUCGCAGACCUUAGCACUCCCCUGUUAAUUGAUAGGCUGAUUGAUGGUUAAAAUUCCAUGAUUAGUCAAGUGACGACGGACUAAUUUUUAGUUCAGUGAUCCAAAUGCUUGCAUGCACAUGAUUUUGUAGAAAGUUACUUUUUUUAGAUGAUUUCUAAACCUUUGGGACGAAGAGCCUAUAUUCCUCUCUGCUUGUGGGCUCCGACGGUUGGCCGAGGCCAACGUCUCAAGGCAGCUCCGUCGGAAGUCAGAACAGAACACACACGCCACACGUGAUGUAAUUCUCCUGAAAACGCAGGCGCUUGCUGCCAGUGUGCGCCGCCUCGUUGUCGUCGGAAGAGGCAGCACGGCAGCAUCACCAUGGCACUGUCACACAUGCCGCCAACAAUACACCAUACCAACUGCACAAGGGUAGUACAAUACUACGAGCAGUCGAGUACUAAAUUAGGUGCAUUCGGCACACCGCACAAUGUUUCAGCAUCUACAUACUAUCGUGUUUUUCAUCAUCAUCAUCAGUAGGAGAAGUCUUGCAGCCUCCGGAUAAGUGCUCACAAUGUGGUCGUUUCAGAGCAGGUUUGAGAUGAGCCGCCGCUUCAGGGUCCUGGAGGUGGACUGGUACGAACGGACCAGGAGGCCGGCGCCGACGCCGACGCCGAGGCAGAUACCCAGACUGAUGCCGACGCCGACCCUCACGCCGGCGGUGAACCAUGACAGCUCGCUGUACUCCUCGCCGUCGUCAACCCCGUCCGACCUCGUGUAGAGGCUGUCCUCGUCCGGGUCGGGCUUGUAGCACCUGUAAUAAUCCGAUUCCUGCACGCGACACGCAGCAGCGGUUCAGUCGUUUCAGUUCAGACUCCAGAGUGAAACACUGAAAGAAAUUUCUCUGAAUUCAACGGAGGAGGAAAAGAAUUCAGCGCACUGUGAUAACAAAUCAGAUUGUCCAAGAAAUCAGAUUGUACCUCUGGGUGAUGGUUGGGAGGCGUUUCUUUCAUGUCCUCCAUCUGCUCGCCGCACUCUGGAAUCGGGUCCAUGAACGCCUUCACCUGGCGCCGCCGCCUGAACCGCAGCUGCAUGGCCUUGGUGAACACGACCGGCGUGUCCCGGAACACGCCCGCGACGUACACCUCCACCACGGGCGGCUUCGUGUUCGUGUCCCUCUCCCCGCCGCAGCCGCACCUCAGGAACCCCGAGCCGCGCUGCGUCGGCACCUGGCACUUCAUCACCCAGCUCUUGGUGGUGCCGGCGCCCUUGCUGUCGUCCACGUCGCAGUCGCACGCCUCCAGAAUCCCGACGAGGAUCCUCUCGUCCUUGCUCUGGACCUCGAACCGCACGCUGCCGGACACCCUGACGGUCGCCGUGCACACGAAGGUGGCUUCCUCCGAUCUCUUGUCCACGCGAUCUCGGCGGAGGGAGAAGGAUACGCUGCUGCCCUUGCCGUUGCCGUUGCUGAUGAUGCCUGGGUGGCGGUCGGCGCCGCUCAAGUCCAGGAUGGUGUCAGGAGUGAGCGGGGUGUGGGUGAGCGUGAGAGUGCCCAGCAUGGACUCGUCGACCUCGCACCUGCUCACCCUCAGGUAGAAGACUCGAAGUGCGAGGCUGGACGACGGCUCCGGCACGGCCAUGGCAGCUUCUGGCUCGGGAAUGUCACCCAUGUUUCAGAGAAUUGAUUUUUUUGGGGCUAAGAAGUUGUUCACUCACAUGAGAGAAAGAGAAUCAACCAUCUGUUUCAACUCUGAACAUUCAGAGAUUGGGGCAUCACAGAGUACUCCAUCUGUACAUCUGUACAAGAAAAAAGAAAACAGUGAGUGGUUAGAUUGGCAGGGCAUAUUACAGGCAGUGAGUGAUCACUGAUCAGCCAAGAGGCAAGAGCUGCUAGAACUGUAUAAGCUACUGACGCAUCUCAUGCAGUAACAAUUCAGUUACAACAUAAACGGAUAACAGAUAGCAUCUGCUAAUUCACAUGCGAAGUAUCAUGAAGUUCACACAGGAUAGAUGAAACUCUAGCUGGGCUAUCUGAAUUGAUAAUAAGCUUUCUUCUUCAACCCUCCAAGAACAUGAAAGGUGAGGAAUAUGAAUUCAGCCUUGCCCUCAAGGCCUCAAUUCUAGUAUCGAUGUCCCAAUCCUGAUGACUACGGUCAGAAUUCAGAAACUGGUAGAAUCAUAGAAUCUUAGACUGUAAUUUCAAUCGCAUAUUUGCAUGGACGAACAGCUUCUACAGGAGAAACGAAUUUUCGAUUGCGCGACUAAACUACAACCGCGACCGUAGCCGCAACUAAUGAUGGAAGAGACCUUCAUAUUUGGCAAGAACACGAUAAGAGAACGCGAAGUACGCAAGAGACAAGAGAGAGGGGACGAAUCAUGAAUACUUGAAUAGCUUACCAGAUUGAGCUCCAAUGUUGAGCGGAUCCCUCUCCUGUGUCCUCUUCGGUCCCUCUUCUCGUUCAGUUCUUCAGUCCUGACAAAGAAUUUCUCCUAUAUAUCCUAUAUAUAUAUAGACUACUAGUACUAGGGAUCUUUCUUUGGUGGAGGUGAGCUGGUGAGGCCCCGUAAAUCCCUCAACUGACACCUCACACAAUGCACACCAGAGUCCAAAACCACCGCUCCAUGCAUGACAACAUGAGCCCCUCUAGAAACCUAGUAGGGAAAAAUAUACUUAUAUAUUUUUGCAUAAAUGCCCGUGAGGACAGAGCGCUUCCGCAGUCCCGUUUCCCCGCCUCAUAAUAAAGCAGCGAGUAAAUUACCUACCGAAACUGACAUGCCACAUUUUAAUGUGGAUUAAUUCGCACUAAUGUUAUACUAUAUUGCAGGUGUGUUAAUGGGAAAAUAAAGAUAUCCUAUGUAUUUCUUUUUCCGAAAAAAAAAGAUAUCAUUUAUAUUGUCGGGGCGAAUUUAUUAGUAGUAGCAGAGUAUGGAAUUUUGUACCCACAUUUUAGAUGUCUUAGACUUAGAAGAGUGCCGUCAAUAGUCAUCCACGUAUGUGUAGGAAAAAAAGAAAAAGGAAAAGUGAAGCUGGGAGCUGAAUUUAGGUGGUUUAGAAGCAAAAGUAUCCACUGCCGUCUGGUCCUGGUGAUCAAGAUCUCAAACUAGGUAAUGGUAGCACCACUAGUCCACAUCAAACAUCUCCCACCACAAGGAAUUAGUGACAAAAGUUAUGCUCUCAAAUGAUUUUCCAGCACCUAUGGGCUACAAGGUUCAACAAGUCGAAAUCAAACUUGAUUAGAAUCUGCUAGGACUAGGAACAGGUGGAAAAUGUUUAGGAUCGCAAUAGGGAAACCCUAUUUAUUUUUCUCAAGAUCAGAAUCAAUUUUAGUAUCUUCUAAGAAAUAAAAGACCACGAACCAAACUAUUGUAGUGAAAUUGGCCUAGCAUAUGGCACUCGACUUGUUGACCGAGAGCAUGAAUUUACUCUACUUGGUUACACAAGUGGGAGUUUAAAUUCACUUUGCUAGAUCGACCGAAUGAGAGUGCAUAAUGCACUCAACUUGAUUGGCAGGGUAUAUAUGUAUGUGUUUACACAUAAGUGUGCUAUUACUAUUCAAGAAACUAUGACACUAUCAUAGGAAUUCAUGCUAAAACUUUUCUACGUCUUGAGAUGACUUGGGCCCCACCUUCUAGAAUAUGGAAAGGUACCAUAUAUGCGUAUGCAUUUUGCCUCGCCCACGCCUCUUGGUCUCUCCUCUUCCCCCGUCUACCAUCAGUGGUGGAUGUAGGAUACGGCGGACUAAAUGAUGAAGAUUUAAGACUAGAGGUAGAGAUUAAUGAUGAUUUGAGACUAAGUAACCAUAGUCUAAUGAAGAAAUUAGGCUCACUAGGAGGGUUGUAGCCACGACAACACUCCCUUUGGAUCCACCUCUGUCUACCAUCUUGUUCUCUCGUUCUAGAACUUGCACGAGCCCCACCAUGCUCUUCAUUGCUCCGACGUCCUCCCUCCCCCUCCCUAUUGCCCCUUGUGUGGCCUUGCUAGCGCCGUUCCCGCCACAUAGUUGUUUAUAAGUGCACGAUUCAAGUGCAUCAGCUGACUCGAACCAAAUCACCGGCUUGCCUCGGAUCAAUUGUCGUAAAUGCAGGACCAGGUGAUAAGGUGCAAGAGUAACGAAGAUGAGGUGUUUUACAAGUGUCCAAACAACUUCCCGUAAUAUGUUGGUUUUAGGUCGUUUCAUUGAUAUCUUGUGUUCUAUAUGGUUGGCCAAUAUUUUUUUGGGAUUCUUUGUUCAAUAGAAUGACAUUACUUGUGGGUACUAAUGGUUUGAGGUUGCCUAUGAGGAGUAUCUACGCGCCAAUCAUCCUUUUGUUGUUGAACCCAGGAGCUGUGGAUUUAGUCUAGAUAGAAGAUGGAGCAGAGGUGAAAGGCGACUUGAACGCACAAUUGUGUCAGAUGCUGCACCAACUCAGUGAGUUGAAGGUCAACAUUAGUGAUGCAAUUAUUAGAAUCAAUAAUACCAAAGAAUAGAUCAAGGAAGAGAUUGGGAAGGGGAACAAACCUUUUAUUGUGGAUAGAGUUACGACCGCUAUGAUUGUAGACGUGUUAGCUGACUUGGUAAUGGUUGUUGUGGCUGCUAUUAUGUGGAAGAAGUGAAUGUACGAAGUUAGUAGCUUCUUAUUUAGCAUGUUGUCUAGUUAGGUUAGUUGCUCAUAAUAGUUUAGUGGUUGCUAGGUCACUUUGCUGUUUUUUAUGAAACAAAAGGGACCUUGGCCUCUACUGAAAUUGUGUCAAAAUAAAAAACUAGAGGCUACAGUAAUUGUUAAAUAUAAAUAAAAAUGCUAUAAUGUUAAAAUCCAUUUUUUAUCUAAACCAGACCUAAUAUGAUUGAACCGAUAGAAGCAAAAUAGAUCAUACGCGUAUACGGUACCUCUCGUAGAUCUGGAUGAGCAUAUUUCAGUUCCGCAGGAAUUUCAGUGACGGUGAGCCGGUGAAAUAUAGUUUUUUUAUACUAAAUACUGUAAGGUCUUGUUUAGAUGUGAAAUCUUUUUGGAUUUCGCUACUGUAGCACUUUCGUUUGUUUGUGACAAAUAUUGUCCAAUUAUAAACUAACUAGGGUCAAAAGAUUCGUCUCACGAUUUACAGACAAACUGUGUAAUUAGUUUUUAUUUUUGUCUAUAUUUAUUGCUUCAUGUAUGUGCCGAAAAAUUCGAUUUGACGGGAAAUCUUGAAAACUUUUUGGAUUUCUGUGGCAAAUCAACAAGGCCUAACCCCCGUGAGGCCGUGACGCCUGCUUCCGUUCGUCUUCCUCAGGCUUCCGAGUUCCGACCCACCCCGGCGCUCCAGCAGUCCCACGCGGCCGCGCCCUGGCGAAUCAGUAGCUUCGCUCCGGCGGCUCCGCUCCCCACGGCCCACGCCCCCGGUCAGGUGACUCCGCGGCUCCGCUCCGGUGCCCACGGUCCAGCGGCCCCGCGCCCCGGCGCGGCGCUUUGCGCGCACGGAGGGACGUUUUCUGGGAGGGCGAAGCGGACGCCCGCUGUCCCGUUUAGUUGGCGUGGAGGCGAAGCUGCUGCUGGGGCUCCUCCAGGCUCCAGGAGCGCUACCAAACGGCUUCCUCCGCUGACUAGCGCUCGCGAUCUGAUCGUCGCCCUGCCAGAGUCCCAGCCAGCGCAGCCUCCUACUCGUAGCCCACCAUGAUCCAGGCGGUGAUGGUGAUCAGCACCCAGGCCAAGCCCCGCCUCCUCAAGUUUUAUAAUUUCCAGGUUCCAAAGCCUUGCCCUCUUGUCUACAUUCUCUCUUUUCUACACUCGUCAUCUAGUCCCCUCUCUCUCUUCACCACCCAUCAAGUGGUCGAUCAAUUUUCCCAUCCAGAUCAACCACAGCUUGAUCUAUUGCUCGAGGAAUUACGUCAGCAAAGCAAAUAUUAUUGCCCUUAAUUCAUUUACUUCUCCGUUUUAUGGUUGCAGCCACCCGAGAAGCAUCAGGACCUCGUCCGCAGUGUCUUCCAAUGUAUGCGCGGUUCGGUUCCUAAUUUCUUCAUUAAUUUUGUAUGCACGCUGAGCUGUGUAGUUUAUUGUUGCAGUACUCUCUGCAAGGCCUGACAGCGUGAGCAAUUUUGUCAAGGUGGACUCCAUAUUUGGCCCGGUAAUGGUUGAUAAAGUAGUAAAUCUUUGCUAAAGGGAUAACUGGUAUGCAAAUGCUAGCAAUGGAUGAAACAAGUUAAUUGGUCAGAUGCCAUUUGUCUCCUUGGCUUCAGACAUGCAGAUUGGUAUCUUAGGCAUCUGUAUGUAAUCUAAGCUGUGCUAACUGCCCAGUGGUUAACUUGCUCUGUCUAGGUUAAUUUGCUCAUAUAUUGACAGAGACUUGAUAAGGUUUGGUUUUCUUCUUUGCGCUUUGCAGGGAACAAAAAUGGUCUACAAGCAUUUGGCCACACUAUACUUUGUUUUUGUAUUUGAUAGCUCUGAGAAUGAGCUUGCCAUGCUCGAUCUGAUUCAAGGUACCCUUAUGGCUUAUUGAUGAAAGAGGAAAGCAUUCUCUUUUUUUUCUAAGAAACAAAUUAUAGCAUUCUCUUUUUUUUCUAAGAAACAAAUUAUAUUCAGUGUGUUAUCAUGUCAUUCAUCUGUUUGGCCUGUCUUACUAUACAAUCAUUAGCUAUUUAUUGUGCUUCUUUCAGCAUUCAAUCACCAUUGUAUUUAACUUUUUUAUUCUGUAUUUAAUGCAUUAUUUUUCUGUUACAAAGUACCUGUGAAUUUUGACGUAACUACACUAGCACGUUCUCAACUUUCUUCUCUGUCCAAUUCUGUCUAGCUACUGAAAUUUUCACCUUGCACUUCACUGUCACUGAAGACUUAAUUUGUCCACCUUUUGUCGAACAACACUCUUAUCAGUUCUGAUUCUAGGAGAUUGAUUACUCAAACUUUGUCUCAUGCACAGUUUUUGUUGAAACAUUGGACAAAUGCUUCAAGAAUGUAUGCGAGCUUGACAUUGUGUUUAACUUCAACAAGGUACCAUAUGAUUCUACCCUUUUUAUCUUUUUAUACUAGAUUGUGUGCCUAUCAAGGAUGCGGUAUCCUGCUGAAAUUUUCAUUUAUGAUUCUUCAGUUGCACGUUUUAAGCAGAAUAGCUAGAUUGAAUCCCUGUUAUGCAGAAUAGCUAUACCAUUAUCUAUCCAUCUAAUUAAUUUGUGGUUGUAAUAGACAAGUACACCCAUUCUCUGACUUUAAAGCAAUAUAGAUAGGCUUCAAAUGGAUGAUUUUCUUAUGACAUAGUAUCACCCCAGGUGGAGUUUGGAUGACACCUGCCUUAAAUGAUGGAGGGCACUGCACUGCCGCAUUGGGCACCCCUAGGGGAGAGGCCUUGGCUAAGCAGAGAGUUGAAAACUUGAGAUACAUUGUACUUCAAUUCCAUUGCCUGCUUUGUCUCUGCAUUGCUUACAUCCUUGUUUAGAGGAGGGUCCUCACUCUUCAGAAAUCUAAGCGGACAAUAGACAGAAACAACCUUACAUUAAAGAUAGAAAAUAUAGAAUCAUGUAUAUAUUACACAGUAACUUCAAAACUAGGAAAUCUGCACCAUCCUUCCUGCUUCCUACCCAUUAUUGCUGCCGCCCACCUUAGCUUGCCACCUCCCAGUGGUGUAGAACUUGAAAAGCAAUGAAGGACCAGGCUAGAGCAUAUUUUCAUGCCUUGGCAAUAUAAUUUUGUUAGUAUGCAGAUACUGGUAGCUAAGGAGGGCUACGCCAAACUUUGGCUCCUUAGUACUGAACCUGCAGAUGCAUAUGGUGCUGGUUUUCCCUUGUUCACUGCAUUCUCAAGUGUUCACAAUGAGAUGUACUUUGACGUUUAUGCAUAGAAAUAGAAGUGCUCAGUCUUAAGACAAAAUGCCCCAAUAAUUCACUCUGGUGUUCUUGUGUUUCUUCACGUUCUUUUAAUUUAACUGUCAAUAUCUGAUGCAGCUGCACACGAUUUUGGAUGAGAUGAUAUUGGGCGGACAGGUGAUCGAAACGAGUUCAGAACAAAUAAUGAAAUCCGUGGAAGAGAUUGAAAGGUUCUCCUCGCUGCCUUCACUGCUCCAUAUAUUGUUUACACUACACUCUUGUACGUCUCGUGCUAAUAUGACUGUCCAUUACUUGACACAGACUGGAGAAACAAUCGAGCACAACCAGUUUCAUACCCAAGUCAAUUACAGAGCGUUUUACCCGUUAAGCUUCCACUCGUUUCCAGGACACCGAGCAUUUAGGUGUGAACAGAACUGAGAAGACAUACCAUUCCAGUCUCAUUUUAGUUCACCUGACGGGUUUUGUCAUGUUUCAUUGUAUGCCCCCGAGCUGUACUCUGUAAGCCUGUAACAUGGAUAUGAAUGCGGCAUCUGCAGUCUAAUAAUACUUCCUGCUUUAUAUGCUUGAUCGUCUGACAGUGCUUGCUGAGGUUCAGACAUGCAUCAGUAACAAACUAGCAAUAUUAUAGAGGGAUCGCUGGUCUCUCGCCUCAUGUAUCAUGAUAACUUAGAUCACUGUUAUUUUUUUUUUCAACCGACGUUGCCCAUUCAUGGAUCAAGAUUUCCCUUGUGCUUCAUUUUUUUUAAUCAUUGUCAAACAGUCAGCGUGUGCCAGCUCGCACACUCUGUCAAUUCAUUAGCCGAUUCAUCUUAUAUAAAAAAAAGGAGGUCCAAUUCACCGCUGUAAUUGUAUAAGCAUGAUACAAUUUUUGAAGUGAGAUAUUUAUGUGAUCGUUUUUAAUUUCAACCUGAUUGCGGAGUAAGUGCAAGUGAAAAUUUUUCUAGCCAUCUGGUGUGUUGCAUCCGAUGGCUGAUAUUUUGUUCAUGCCCGUCGAUCAAUAUUGAGAUCUAAAUGUAGUAAUUAGGUCUUUGAAUUUAAGUCAGGUUGCUCACCAUUUAUACAGCAAAACUUGGUACUGAGGCUUCCAGCCCGCACUUCCCGUUCCCAUUCCCAUGAGCGAUCCUGGCGGCUGCGCCGUGCGGCGGCCGCCAACGGCAGCGGAGGUGGUGGGGCGGCUCAAGGACGAUGGCGACUUCGAUGCUCUCCGCCGCGCCAUCGUUCGGAAGGUCAAGGACAACGUAAGCUUCCCCCUAAACGUCAAUUCCCCACAUCCUUUACCCCAAGGGUUGCGAUUUCGUCGCUCUUUAGUCCCUAAUCCUGAGCAGUGGAACUUUGAUGCGCAUGCCACUCCUUUUCAUUCUCCGGUGGAUCGCUCAUCGCCGUUACUUAAUUCGAUGCUGGGCUUGAUUGUUUGCAAGAGAUUGGAAUGGAAUGAUGAUGCGGAGUGUAGGGUUUCGCCGGAAUUUCGUCCGUUUGGUCUGCUAUAGUCCUUAAGAUUAUUAUAUGAUGCUAUAUCGGGAGCACCUUAGAUCGAACCCUGGUCGAGGCGUGCAUGAAUUGAUACUUUCAUUGGCAGGCUUGUAGCUCUCUAGUGGACAACUGCAGAACUUUGUUGGCAUUGAAAAUACUGGCUUGAGUUAGACAUAAAUCUUAAAUCAUCUGUGUUGUGUCUUGGGUGAACUGCAAUAUGAGUUCUAGGUUCUGGUGUUUGUUUAGUUAUGAAAUCCUAAGGUUCUAAAAUGGUCUGAUUCAAUGCUUGUUAGAAAAUGUUUCGAAAUUAUAAUCUGCAGGAUGGUGGAAGAGAACUUGGAACAUAAGAGAUUGUCUGUACCCUUUUGUAUUUAUGUUAUUCUAUAUGCUGCAUUUGGGAGGAAGUUUUCAACUUUCAAGAGUUUUCCUGUAUCUGACAUGUGUAAAGGUUCUCCAAAAGUUUCCCUCUAUCCGACACGUGUAGAGAUUCACCAAAAUUUCUAUGAUAGAAGGUAUACAUCUUGAUGUAGUUUCCAUGGGAAAAUGGAAGUGUCAAUUGUGAGAAGGGUCCUCACAUGCAUAUUCAUGUUCUUUUCCCCCCUAGUUGUGUUUCGAUACCUCAGGGAUGUGGAGAUUUGGCGCGCAAGGAUGAUAAAUGUGCUUUGUGCCACUCCGCUAUAGGACCAAUGUUUUCCUUUUUGUCGUAUUAGGAUUGUGUAACCGCUCAGCCUGCCACUUCCAGCACGUGCAAUAAGUUUGCGACGCAGCAUUUAUUUGGAUUAUAAAUGGAGUGGAGAGUUGAAUCAUCCACCAUUAGAAUGGAUAUUCAUUGACACGCAAACAUGGUUACAAUGGAUUAGUGCUCGUGAUGAGUAAGCGAUAAAUAAUUUCAUGAGCUUUUCACAAUGAGCUCUGGGCCUUGCCAUUCUAGUUUGACCUUGUUGAGCUGCUGCGUCAUAGGUGACUAGAGAUAAAAGCUCAAAUAAGUAACCCAACAAUUAUUAUGAUAUUAUCUGAAACUGCAACACCAGUUGUAGAGCACCAAUUGUUUGAGUCAUUUGUCAGGGCUAUUGUCAUUUGGGGAAUAUUUGGUAUUACCUCUGGUGAUGUUGCAUAAUUAUUAUUAUUAUCCAGUCAUCUGUUGAAAAAUGUGAGACUAAUCUGUAUCCUUUUGUCGUAUACAAAUGUUUUCAGCAUGACAUUUGCCUUUGUAUAAAUAAUUUGCAUUUCCUGGCCAGCCAGGGUAUUGUACUCCUGUACCUUAGAACAAAGUCAGCCAGCCAGGGAGAGUAGGAGACAUCUCUCUUGACGUAGUCGAGAUUUUUUAUUUAUUUAUCAUUAUGAGCCAUGCUGAUUGCCAGUUGCUCAACUUCAUUUCACAUUGUUCCAGUUGUAUGAUGAAAAUGGCCUCUUCUUCAUAGUGACUUUAUUUAUGUAAGCUGUGGCAAAAGAAGUUUCCUUUGUAUAAGAAGCAUGUGAUGUCUGUCUAUCUUUUUUCCUUUUUUGAUUAGACAUGAAGGGUUUGUUAUCUGGGUUAUCUAGUCCAUUCAUCCAUGUUUCUCGCACAUUUAAUUGAUUUCCUCUGAUCACAGAUUAAUUACAGUUCUUCAGUUGCAUCACUUGUCUCUUGGGCAAUUUGAAAUUUGUGUUAUAGUGUCUAUUUCACCAUGCUAGGUGGUGUAUACUCUGCUUACAUGGCCAGCAUUCUGCUCAGUAGAUGUAUAUUGCAUAUAGUGCAUAGUAACCUUUCCUUUGUUCAUUGGAUAUGGCAUUAGUGGUGGAUAUGGCAUUAGUGGUGUGGUGCAUACUUCUAUAAGUUUAUGGCAUGCUAUCUUUCUUGCAGGAGGUACUACGCAACAAAAUCAUCUCCGAGGUAAAGCAGUCAGUGGUUCUACAAGAAGAGGGAUCCGAGAGGAUGAAACUAAAAGACUUAUCUGAUGCAAUUUUUCAAGAUAUUGGGUAAUUUGAUCCACUUCUUUUGUAAAAGCCUUCAAAUGUACCACUUCUUAAAUUCUCAUAAUAGAUGUUGAUUACUAACUCAAGUUGUUGCAAAACUGCUCUUCUUCAUUAUCAGGAGCAAAAUAAUGGGUGAAAUCUCAGAUGAGGUGUGGAAGGUCAUCCAGUCAAACGAAACUGAUAUACAGGGAACUGUGAAAGCUGUCUACAAUAGGAUACUGAACCCUGAAAAAAUCCCUGAGCCUUCUUCUAAGAAGCUGAGGGAAGGCAAAGAUGAACAAGUUUUGGCAACAAAAACAGCAACGACAGUUGCAGUCGAGGCAGAAGAUGAUGAUCCAGAGGAACCACCGGGGUUUGGUUUCGGCAAUUCUCAGCGUAAUAAUAUUGGAGCAACAAAGCCACCGAUGAAUUUGGAAAAUCGCAAUGAAGCGAAGCCAAAUGGAGGUGAGCCAGCUGCUGUCAGCAACCCAGGGGAUGAGGAGGAGGAUCCUGAAGUGCCCCCUGGAUUUGGUUAAUGCAAUUCUUUUUUUUCGAAAAUGUGCAUUGGCACUUCACAAACUUCAGUGGCAAUGCAGCAGUUUCUUUAUCAGCAAUAUACAAGAAGAGAAUUUUUUAAAUUUUCUGUUGUCAGGAAGAGGAAUGCUUUAGCUCAUAUCUCCGACUUGAGAGGUACCACAGUUGAAACCCCUGUAAUGGUCGCUAAAUCUAUGCAGCCGCAGGAUAUCUUUUACUGUGAUGCCGUGAUGGUGGCAAAUAUGUUUGGGCCUGACAACGAGUUGGUUGUGUGCGUAGUUUCUAACUAUCUGUUUCUGUCUUCUUUGCUUGCCUCCUGAGUUGCCUUUUUUUUUAGUGGAGAGUUGCUAUAGUUGCUUGCUCCCUGUAAAUGUUGCAAGGCGCAAGGCGGGAAGCCCAUGUAUAUGGCGAGGUAGCUUUGAAGCCCAUGGGCUAUUUUGGGCAUCGCCGAAGGAAGAGUAUAUGUUCUUGUGAAUUUCUCGUAACAAAAAAAGAUUGGGGCUCUUUUGAACACAUGAUUCUUAAAAGACAGGAACAUGAAAAUACAGGAAUGAAGCUGCGUAUCAUUUGUGUCCUACUGGAAUUAUAGCAUAGUGGUCUAUAGAAUCCAUUUUCAUCUCCCACCCUAUGAAUUUAAGAUAGACUUUUUUAGAGUAUAAGAAGAUAGACUUAUUUGUGAGCUUGGGAAAGUUGUGGAAUAUCAUAUUCUAAGCUAAAUAGCCUAUAAUCCAUUACGUAGAUUUCAAAUCCUCCAAAAAUAAAGGGAUCCAUACGGUCCCUUAAUGAACCGUAUGGUUCCCUUAAGAAGAUUGGACUAUGGUGAUGUGGUCGGCAAAUUCAGCAAGUCUAACACCUACGUUUUGUUCUGAUUGCCAUUAAGCAUUUGAGGCUAGCAAAUGCUUGUUAGGUGGUGGUUAAUUUUUUGGGUUUUAAGAAAGAAGACCAUCCGAUGUUAACUCAGUUUGAGCAUCACAGAAGGGAUCAAUCAACCCUUGUCCACGAAACAAGGGAUAGUAGCAUUCGCCUCUCCAUCACCCGGCCACACGAGGCAUGGGGCCAGCGGCUCAAAAUCUGGAUCUGUCAAAAAAAAAAAAAAACUGGAAAACGCUUUCGCCGGAGCUAAGCUCUUCAUUAAACCAGGGCAGGCGCUCCAACAUGAAUCAUCGUAGUCGUCGCAGUCGCUGAAGCCAAACUCGAACGCAUCAUUGAUCCUAGAGGAGCCCUACCGCCACCGCCCACCGCCCACGCCGCUGCCUGCUACGACGACGACAAGCAGCGGUGUAAGUCCUACCAGCAACGUACGAGGAGUCGCGGACUCGUCGAGGAGGGAGACACGGCCUGCUAUGCGUGACGUGCCUCGCGCCGUAGCCGAUUCCCCCAUAGACUUUGGCGAGCCGAUUGGAAGGUGGCCAUUGGCAGGGCGUGAGCUCUCGAGCACAGCUCGGAAUCAGGAGACGCUACGCCGGCCGGCACUCUACUGGUAGUAGUAGACGCUAGUACUACGCUCUCUUCUUUUGCUGCAUGUGCAUCACUACGAACUGACCGUUUCGCCAGUCUCCAGUGCCUGCCUGAUAGUAUUAUUCCUCCUGUUCCCGUCAGCAUUGCCUGUACUAGACGUCAGUUGCUGCAGUAGUAACAUUCUUCCUAUCAAAGUGAGUGAGUGACCGCCACUCUCCCUUGUCCAAGCUUUUUUUUCUAUACUACUCUUCUUUUUAGCUUUCUAGCGGAACGUUUAAUUUUCUUCCAUGCGACAGCAGCUAAUGUGUUGCUCGACGUGAUUGGAAAUAUGAACUGAAGCCACCUUUCGUUUUCUUUCACGUCGAUCGAGCAAUGAUGUCGUUUAGUAUAUAGUACUAGGGCACUAAUACUAUACAGGACAGAGAUACAAUAUAUUAGUAUUAUAUAUAUAUAUAUAUAUAUAUAUAUAUAUAUAUAUAUAUAUAUAUAUAUAUAUAUAUAUAUAUAUAUAUAUAUAUCAAGUAUUCAAGUGUAUCACAGUUCCUUCCGAAUGAGUGAAGAUGAACGACAUGGGAUCAUAGAAAAAAAUAGCCCGCUAUUUUUGCCGCUAUAGCCCGAAAUAGCUUGAAAAAAGUUAUGCCGCUAUUUGCAUUUAUGCACAAUUUUGCCGCUAAUUACGGUUUAUAAAACGCUAAAUACCUUGGCCUUAGCUCGCUAUUUAAAACAUGGCAUGGGAUUCACCUGUUGACUGUUGUGUCUGUAUAACAACAGUGUACAUGCACAAGUUUGUAACCGGUUUCAUACUAUCAUUCUGCGGAUACAAUUGUACAUUGUACAGCAUCUGGAGAUGCAAUGUUCUAAGGUUGCUGCCAAUUUUCUUUCUUACUGUCAGCCACAGGAACAUUAU